GUUUGAUCCUGGCUCAGAGUGAACGCUGGCGGCGUGCUUAACACAUGCAAGUCGAACGAGAACGGAUUAAAGCUUGCUUUAAUUGUCAGCUAAGUGGCGCACGGGUGAGUAAUAUAUAGGUAACGUGCCUUCAAGAAGGGGAUAACGUUUGGAAACGAACGCUAAUACCCUAUAUGCCUUUAUCCCAUAAGGGAGCAAGGGAAAUAUUUAUAGCUUGAAGAUCGGCCUGUACGGUAUCAGCUUGUUGGUGAGGUAAUGGCUCACCAAGGCAAUGACACCUAACUGGUUUGAGAGGAUGAUCAGUCACACUGGAACUGAGACACGGUCCAGACUCCUACGGGAGGCAGCAGUGGGGAAUAUUGCACAAUGGACGAAAGUCUGAUGCAGCAACGCCGCGUGGAGGAUGACACAUUUCGGUGCGUAAACUCCUUUUAUAUGGGAAGAUAAUGACGGUACCAUAUGAAUAAGCACCGCUAACU
rnacentral:rRNA from 1 species